rnacentral:rRNA from 1 species
UACGUAGGGUGCGAGCGUUAAUCGGAAUUACUGGGCGUAAAGCGUGCGCAGGCGGUUGUGUAAGACAGGUGUGAAAUCCCCGGGCUUAACCUGGGAAUUGCAUUUGUGACUGCACGGCUAGAGUUUGGCAGAGGGGGGUAGAAUUCCACGUGUAGCAGUGAAAUGCGUAGAGAUGUGGAGGAAUACCGAUGGCGAAGGCAGCCCCCUGGGAUAACACUGACGCUCAUGCACGAAAGCGUGGGGAGCAAACAGG